UACGUAGGGGGCAAGCGUUGUCCGGAUUUACUGGGCGUAAAGAGCGCGCAGGCGGCUGGGCAAGUCCGAUGUGAAAGCUUCCGGCUUAACUGGAAAAUUGCAUCGGAAACUGCUCGGCUUGAAGGUGGGAGAGGGUAGCGGAAUUCCCGGUGUAGUGGUGAAAUGCGUAGAGAUCGGGAGGAACACCAGUGGCGAAGGCGGCUUGCUGGGCCGGACCUGACGCUGAGACGCGAAGGCGUGGGGAGCGAACGGG
rnacentral:rRNA from 1 species